rnacentral:rRNA from 1 species
AGUGAACGCUGGCGUUAGGCCUAACACAUGCAAGUCGAACGGCAGCACAGUAAGAGCUUGCUCUUACGGGUGGCGAGUGGCGGACGGGUGAGGAAUACAUCGGAAUCUACUUUUUCGUGGGGGAUAACGUAGGGAAACUUACGCUAAUACCGCAUACGACCUACGGGUGAAAGCAGGGGAUCUUCGGACCUUGCGCGAUUGAAUGAGCCGAUGUCGGAUUAGCUAGUUGGCGGGGUAAAGGCCCACCAAGGCGACGAUCCGUAGCUGGUCUGAGAGGAUGAUCAGCCACACUGGAACUGAGACACGGUCCAGACUCCUACGGGAGGCAGCAGUGGGGAAUAUUGGACAAUGGCGCAAGCCUGACCCAGCCAUACCGCGUGGGUGAAGAAGGCCUUCGGGUUGUAAAGCCCUUUUGUUGGGAAAGAAAAGCAGCAGGUUAAUACCCCGCUGUUCUGACGGUACCCAAAGAAUAAGCACCGGCUAACUUCGUG